rnacentral:rRNA from 1 species
GUGGGGAAUAUUGGACAAUGGGGGGAACCCUGAUCCAGCCAUGCCGCGUGUGUGAAGAAGGCCUUUUGGUUGUAAAGCACUUUAAGCGAGGAGGAGGCUACCGAGAUUAAUACUCUUGGAUAGUGGACGUUACUCGCAGAAUAAGCACCGGCUAACUCUGUGCCAGCAGCCGCGGUAAUACAGAGGGUGCAAGCGUUAAUCGGAUUUACUGGGCGUAAAGCGCGCGUAGGUGGCCAAUUAAGUCAAAUGUGAAAUCCCCGAGCUUAACUUGGGAAUUGCAUUCGAUACUGGUUGGCUAGAGUAUUGGAGAGGAUGGUAGAAUUCCAGGUGUAGCGGUGAAAUGCGUAGAGAUCUGGAGGAAUACCGAUGGCGAAGGCAGCCAUCUGGCCUAAUACUGACACUGAGGUGCGAAAGCAUGGGGAGCAAACAGGAUUAGAUACCCUAGUAGUCC